CUACGUGCCAGCAGCCGCGGUAAUACGGGGGGUGCGAGCGUUAAUCGGAAUAACUGGGCGUAAAGGGCACGCAGGCGGUGACUUAAGUGAGAUGUGAAAGCCCCGAGCUUAACUUGGGAAUUGCAUUUCAUACUGGGUCGCUAGAGUACUUUAGGGAGGGGUAGAAUUCCACGUGUAGCGGUGAAAUGCGUAGAGAUGUGGAGGAAUACCGAAGGCGAAGGCAGCCCCUUGGGAAUGUACUGACGCUCAUGUGCGAAAGCGUGGGGAGCAAACAGGAUUAGAUACCCUGGUAGUCCACGCUGUAAACGAUGUCGAUUUGGGGAUUGGGCUUUGAGCUUGGUGCCCGUAGCUAACGUGAUAAAUCGACCGCCUGGGGAGUACGGCCGCAAGGUUAAAACUCAAAUGAAUUGACGGGGGCCCGCACAAGCGGUGGAGCAUGUGGUUUAAUUCGAUGCAACGCGAAGAACCUUACCUACUCUUGACAUCCAUGGAAUCUUGUAGAGAUACGAGGGUGCUUCGGGA
rnacentral:rRNA from 1 species